rnacentral:ncRNA from 1 species
AUGGUGCGAAGCUACCGUCUGAGGGAUUAUGACUGAACGCCUCUAAGUCAGAAUCCCGCCUGGAAAGCGACGAUGCAUUCGUGCCUCGGCCUCGAGAGGCGUAGCUAGACGGCCGUGUGGCCGUGGAAAGAGCCCGAUUCCGACCCGAGAGGCCGCGGAAAGAGGCGGCCUCGAAGUCGGUGGAUCCUCCUGCUCGAAAGGCGGGGUGCUAAACCAUUCGCAGACGACCUAGUUGAAGAUCGGGGUGUCGUGAUCACUAGAGCAGUACAUCUCACUGCGAUUUGUUGAGAGUAAGCCUCAAGAUCUGUCGGUUUGU